rnacentral:rRNA from 1 species
CUCGUACCCUUUGCAUCAUGGUUUAACUAGUCUAACCAAGCAAAACGAAAUUUAAGUUUGCACACCCGAAACUAAGCGAGCUACCUAAAAACAGCUCAAAGAGCUAACCCGUCUCUGUAGCAAUAGAGUGGGAAGAUUUUUAAGUAGAGGUGACAAGCCUACCGAGCUUAGAGAUAGCUGGUUAUUCAAGAAAAGAAUUUUAGUUCUCCCUUAAAUAUAAGCAUGUUGAUAAACAACACCCAAAGAUUUAAGAGUUAUUCAAUUAAGGCACAGCUUAUUUGAAAAAGGAUACAACCUACAAAACCGGGUAAAAUACUACAAACAUAACAAGUAGGCCUGAAAGCAGCCACCUUUAUGAAAGCGUUAAAGCUUAUUAUAAUAUCUCAACUAAUUCCAUUAUAUAUUAUGAACCCCAAUCAACUAUUGAAUGACCCCAUAAUUAUAUGGACACCACUAUGUUAAAACUAGUAACACGAAUUUAAAAUUCUCCAAAAUGUAAAUAUAAACCAAAAUGGAUAAACCAUUGGUGAUUAACGAAUAUAAAUUCUUACAGUAAAAUCACAAGAAAACUCUGUAUAAACUUAUCGUUAACCUCACACUAGAACAUUAAUGGAAAGAUUAAAAGAGAAAGAAGGAACUCGGCAAAUUCUGACCCCGCCUGU